GUCAGCGAAAAGUUGGGCAGAGAGGUGUGUGAUGCUCUGCCGGCAUUCCAUGCCUUUACCGGCUGUGACGCAGUCAGUUCCUUUGCGCACCAUGGCAAGAAAUCUGCCUUCAAGUUGCUGUGCUCCCCAGCCCACUCCGACUACAAGGCAAUCUUCGCCCGUGUUGGUUGUAACUUUGACGGACUUCCUGGUGAUGUCACUGAUUCCCUGGAGACGUUUCUGUGCCUUCUCUACAAUGCAAAAAGUUGCACCAAGGUCAACGAUGCAAGGUAUCAGUUGUUCUGCACGAAAACGUUGCAGUCGAAUCAGCUUCCACCAUGCCAUGAUGCCUUCGUCAAGCACUGCGCCAGGGCCAACUAUCAGGCUGCUGUGUGGCGCCUUUGUCUUGCUGCAAUACCAGACAUACCUGCUCCACACGAGAAUAAUCAAGGCUGGUGUCUGAAUAGCGAUGGCAAUCUUGCCGUUUCUUGGUUGAGCCUACCCCCAGCGCCCCGAGCACUCCUUGAGUUCCUCAGCUGUGGCUGCAAGACAGGCUGUAGCAGUGGGAACUGCUCAUGCCGGCGCCAUACUUUGAAAUGCACAGAUGCCUGCCAGUGUCGCCACAACUCGGCAGGAGUUGCCUGCACCAACUGCCCAACUCUGGACACGGUUCAGGAAGACGUUGCUUCAUCUCUGGAAGCAGAUGACACACUGCAAGCUGUGCAGUGAAACACUUCUUCGCUGGUCGC